UACUAUAUAGUUUAAAUUAAAACAUUAAUCUUGUAAAUUAAAAUUAAAUACCAAAAUUUUAUAGUAU
rnacentral:tRNA from 1 species